GCUAAGAAUAUUCCGCAAUGGACGAAAGUCUGACGGAGCGACGCCGCGUGGAUGAGGAAGGCCGAAAGGUUGUAAAGUCCUUUUGUCGAUGAAGAAUAAGUGGUGGAGGGAAUGCCAUCAUGAUGACGUUAGUCGGCGAAUAAGCACCGGCUAAUUACGUGCCAGCAGCCGCGGUAACACGUAAGGGGCAAGCGUUGUUCGGAAUUAUUGGGCGUAAAGGGUACGUAGGCGGUUAUGUAAGCCCGGCGUGAAAUCCUGCAGCUUAACUGUAGAGCUGCGCUGGGAACUGCGUAACUUGAGUCAUGGAAGGGAAGUUAGAAUUCCAGGUGUAGGGGUGAAAUCUGUAGAUAUCUGGAAGAAUACCGGUGGCGAAGGCGAACUUCUGGCCAAUGACUGACGCUGAGGUACGAAAGUGCGGGGAGCAAACAGGAUUAGAAACCCCAGUAGUCC
rnacentral:rRNA from 1 species